rnacentral:rRNA from 1 species
UACGUAGGCAGCGAGCGUUGUUCGGAAUUAUUGGGCGUACAGAGUGUGUAGGCGGUGCUCUAAGUCUGUCGUGAAAUCUCCCGGCUUAACUGGGAGGGUGCGGCGGAAACUGGAAUGCUAGAGGGUGGGAGAGGAAAGCGGAAUUCCUGGUGUAGCGGUGAAAUGCGUAGAUAUCGGGAGGAACAGCGGUGGUGUAGACGGCUUUCUGGACCGUAACUGACGCUGAGACACGAAAGCGUGGGUAGCAAACAGG